CGUGCAUGGAUAUACCCGUAUCUAGGAGCAAACUGGAAAACGUGGAAGACAUUAUAUUCAUUGUCACACAAUUUUUAACUAAAAAAAUCAAAAUUUUCUGACAAAGAAGCGAUUGAGAAAAAAAAUACUUGAGGGACCAAAUCCUGCACAUUGCAUCAACCUCCUGAAUGGUAUGUUCCCGCCUAUUUCCGAUAAGAGGAUUAUAAAAUCUCAUUACCAAUCACAAAGCCAGCACUUCUAAAAGUCUCGCUACCAUAGCAGGAUGAAAUUAUCAAUGGUCCGGACUCUGACAGCUCUAUCCUUGGCCUUACUGCUGGCGUCGGCUAAUGCCUACCCCUCACUGCUCCUCGGCAGAAGUGCCAAACGAGCUUCAUUCACAUUAGACUCUUUCCAGUCCUCUAAAUGCACGAUGAACGAAGCCGUGAACACGAUAUGUUAUGUUUGUGGACGCACUUAUGACAGUAUGGAAAUUUACAGUCAGUGUUGUGCCGGAAAUGACCCAAAUUUGCAAGCCUUCUGUGAUGGGGUGUUCAACACCUGAUAGCGAUAGACCUUCCAUAGAAGACAGCAUCCUCAGCGAUCUCAUCUGAAAACAUUAAUGAAUCUCCUAGUUUUUAUUUAAAACUGCACGUGCACUCUACGUGGGUUUUUGGUUUAGUUGGAUUUAUGUGCGUCUUAUUUGGACUGAAAUAACUUGCAUAUAUUUUUUUAUAUUUUGUUACAUAAAUAAACAUAUUUUGCAAACCGUC